rnacentral:rRNA from 1 species
AUGUCUUCCUCCUCCGCCUCCGGUGCCUCCUCCUCAAACCUCAAUAGCCAGGUCACGGAGAAGCUGUCCCGCACGAACUACGUGCUAUGGCGAACACAGAUCAUCCCCCAAUUGCGUGGCGCCGGCAUCUACGGCUACAUCGACGGCACCACACCGGAGCCGGCGAAGCUCCUCAUCACCACCAAAGAUGGCAAGGAGACUUCAUAACCCAACCCUCUCCACCCUGUAUGGGUCCGGGAGGACCAGCAGGUCCUUGGCUUCCUGCUGGCCAACCUCACAAAGGAGGUUCUGGUGACGGUGACCACGGUCACCACGGCGAGCGCGCUCUGGACGACGCUCGCUACCAUGUUCUCGUCGCACUCGGCGAGCCGCAUCAACAACAUCCGCACCUCCCUCAUCAACGCGCAGAAGGGUAAUCUCUCGGUUGCCUCUUACUUUGCUGCUAUGCGCGGAUAUGCAGAUGAACUAGCCGCGGCGGGCAAGGCCAUCCAGGAUGACGAACUAGUCUCCUACAUCAUCCACGGGCUAGACGCCGAUUACCAGCCUCUGGUAUCUGCUCUCGACGCUCGUGUCACCCCCGUCACACUCGAUGAACUCUAUGCCAUGCUCUCCAACUUCGACCAGCGCGUGGCUCAUUACCACGGGUCCGGCGGCGGCGGCUUCAAAUCUUCAGCCAACAUGGCGUCGCGUGGGCAGGGUGGCGGCUCCCGUUCACGUGGCCCUCCUUGCAACAAAGGGCGAUCUGGUGGCGGCGGCGGCAGUGACCAUGGCUCCUCUCCUCAGCGCACAGGCGGCAGAGGCCGUGGCCGUCGCAGUCGUGGCAGCGGAAACAGGACGCGCCCCGACACUCCAUGA